CUUGGUCAUUUAGAGGAAGUAAAAGUCGUAACAAGGUUUCCGUAGGUGAACCUGCGGAAGGAUCAUUACCGGGUUUGGGGGGGAGACCCCCCGCACUCCCAACCCUUGCUUAACCACCACGUUGCUUCGGCGGGCCGGGGCGCCCCACCGCCCCCGCCUUCGCGGCGAGCGCCCGCCGGAGGCCAACCAAACCCUGAAUCGCAGCAGUCCGAGCGAACGCACAAUAAAGUAAAAACUUUCAACAACGGAUCUCUUGGUUCUGGCAUCGAUGAAGAACGCAGCGAAAUGCGAUAAGUAAUGUGAAUUGCAGAAUUCAGUGAAUCAUCGAAUCUUUGAACGCACAUUGCGCCCCUUGGUACUCCGAGGGGCAUGCCUGUCCGAGCGUCAUUUCACCAGUCAAGCCAGGCUUGGUGUUGGGCUCCGUCCUCGGAGGACGGGCCUCAAAGCCCCCGGCCGCGCGGUCCCGCUUCAGGCGUAGCAGAGCUUUCGCAGCCUCGCCUUGGAAGCGCGCACCGCGUCGCGCCGCGCAAGCGAAACUUCUCACCUAGAGGUUGACCUCGGAUCAGGUAGGGAUACCCGCUGWMCUUAAGCAUAUAAA
rnacentral:rRNA from 1 species